UACGUUCAUCUCCUAACACUAGGAGACGCAAGUACCUCACGAAUGGAGGGAAGGAACGGGAA
rnacentral:ncRNA from 10 species